CGAUUUUGGAAGGCCGUAAUUCCACAACCCACCUUACAAGCUCAGUUUUUCAUUCCCCACAGGCUUUUCUUUGGCAUCUGCGAAGACAGAGAGCACCAGACCUGCAGGCUGAAGCUUGGAAGUAACGAAUGGAUCCCUGAAAUGAGUACAGUCUCAGCCUUGGUUUCUGAGAAUGGAAAAGGAUCCUGCAGAAGCAGGUGGCAGCGAUGAGCCGGCUGCCCUGGGCCCAAAGCGGAGACUUGUGUGUAUGUCUGCAGUGUGGGAGGCAGAACUGAUCUGCUUUGCCUGAAGUAAGUGAGAGAACUCCUCCCCUGUUGCUUGUAGUCUUCGUUUCCAUCUUUCGUGUCCCCA
rnacentral:lncRNA from 1 species